CUGAGAGGUGAGCCCCACGCUGGGUAGUCUUGGGGCCACCCCCUUUAUUUGUUUGCUUGGGGUUGCUGGAGAUCCAGCCUGGGAGCCUCCUGUACACUGAAUAAGCCCUGUGCCCCAUACCUGCUGUGCCUCUCCAGCCUGGGAGUAAAGCAAAGAGGCUUUGAGCUUUCCCACGCAGAACCCCCUGAAAGCGGCAGGGAGACUGAGGAGCGGUGGCCGCUGCAGAGGAGACAGAUAUCAAGCAGACCACAAGCUGCAUUCCAGACCCAACUGUGGCCCUCAGGAUGCGACCUGCCAGCAGGAGCCUUGUGGCUCCUCUCCUUCCCACCUAUGGGGUCUACAACCAGAGACCAGAGGGACCCCUCCUGGCAUGCUCUGUAUGCCUCACAGCCAACCUCCCGCCCUGGCUCAGAACUGACUCCUAAGGGUGGCGCUCUCUCUCUCUCUCUCUCUCUCUCUCUCUCUCUCUCUCUCUCUCUCUCUCUCUCUCUCUCUCUCUCUCUCUCUCUCUCUCUCUCUCUCUCUCUCUGUAGCUCCACCUCACCUGCUUCCCCGGGGAGCCCCCAGGAGCCAGAGGAAGCUGAGCAGCAGCAAUAUGGGUGCAGCAGGCUGGGACAGAACCGGAUCCACACCGGAGCGCCAUGAGGACAGAGCCUCGUGUGUGAGCUCUGAGCCACGGCUCCAGGCUCCCACACAGUGGACUUUCUGCUCUGCCUGGCAUGAAAACUGGAAUGAUUUCACCUUUGAGCUCCUCAGCCUCCCUCUCUUCUCCCCACUGCCGGGACCUCAGUGCUGUAGAAAGGGAGGGAACAGGAAGCUAUGGCAUGCCUAUUAGGGGCCAGGUGGGAGAGCCCCACCCAUGGCCUGCCUGCCCCCAUGGCUGCCCCCACUCCCCUAGAGUAUACACCAGAACAAAGCCUCUGCUUGGUGUAAGCCCUUCUGCCUUGCUUCAAGUUCCCUCUGCCCUCUCUCCACCAUAACAGCCACCAGUCACGGGGCUCCGGGGCUGUGACCAUACUGAGGAAUAACGCAGAAUUCAACCUGAAGUCUUUUCUCUAUCAAAAGAGCUGGACUCAGUCCCCAGAAAGAAAAGUCAGCUAGCCAUGGAAACAAAAAUGCAGGCUUAGGGUUGAUGGCAAUGACAGGAAUUUUUGCCUGAAGAAGCUGGUUUGUGGGGCUUGGGAGAUGACUCCACCAGUAAAGCACUUGUUGGGCAAUCCUG
rnacentral:lncRNA from 1 species